rnacentral:misc_RNA from 1 species
GAUGAAGAACGCAGCGAAAUGCGAUAACUAAUGUGAAUUGCAGAAUUCAGUGAAUCAUCGAGUCUUUGAACGCACAUUGCGCCCCCUGGUAUUCCGGGGGGCAUGCCUGUCCGAGCGUCAUUGCUGCCCUCAAGCACGGCUUGUGUGUUGGGCUCCGUCCCCCCGGGGACGGGCCCGAAAGGCAGCGGCGGCACCGAGUCCGGUCCUCGAGCGUAUGGGGCUUUGUCUCCCGCUCUGUAGGCCCGGCCGGCGCCAGCCGACAACCCAUCAUCCUUUUCAGGUUGACCUCGGAUCAGGUAGGGAUACCCGCUGAACUUAAGCAUAUCAAUAAGCGGAGGA